AAGAAAAGAAAAAAAAAUAUAUUUUAAAAUUCUAUAUUAUAUGAUUUAAAUAUAUUUAGAAAAGAAUAACUUCUAUACUUUUAAAAUUGAACAACGGCAGCAUGUAUGCAUUUAGAAAAGGAUCACUUUCUAUACACUUAAAAAUCCAACAGCAGCAACAUGUAUGAUUUAGAAAAGAUCACUUUCUAUACAUUUAAAAUUGAACAACAGCAGCAUGUAUGCAUUUAGAAAAGGAUCACUUUCUAUACACUUAAAAAUCCAAUAGCAGCAACAUGUAUGAUUUAGAAAAGAUCACUUUCUAUACAUUUAAAAUCCAACAGCAGCAACAUGUAUGAUUUAGAAAAGAUCACUUUCUAUAUUUUUAAAAUCCAAUAGCAGCAACAUGUAUGCAUUGCUACAGUGUUCAAAGCAACAAAUUCAGUACCACAAAAUUCAAACAUACACAAUGUAAAACAGAGAUUCCAAACCAAAAUGUUUACCGUAAUGCGACGUCGACCAUCUAUACACCGAAUUCAAACACGAAAUCGCAGCAGCAACAUGUAUGAUUUAGAAAAGAUCUCUAUAUUUUUAAAAUCCAAUAGCAGCAACAUGUAUGCAUUGCGUAAUGCGACGUCGGCCAUGUUAUUGCUGUUGGAAACGAUGAAGAACAAACCUAACGAUUUGUGCAAGGAUGUGCGUGGACUGUUACCGUAUUAUUGUUGAGCUGCUACUUCGAAGUCACCAUGCUGCUGAAUUGGAGAUGUUUGUUGAUCUAUUGUUAUGAUGUUGAAACAGUAGUGUCAAAGUUGUGUGUUUCUACCGACAUAAAAAGUUGCGGCGAUUGUUGUGAAACAGAAGGUGGUGAUAACGCUAUGUAUGGUGGAGCGAAAAUAGGUGAGAUGAGGGAAUAAUAUAUCUCGGUUAUUUUUAGUUAUGAAAGGUUGAAGGAGGAGGUAAAGAGGCGAGGGAUGUAGGUGGAGGGUGUUGGUCUCGCUGACGGAGGUUUAUUUCUUGAAGUAGAUGGAAGAUCUAUGGAGGUGAGGUGGUGAUGUUCACUGUGACAAAGAGAAAAUGUUUUUUUUCUUUUUUCUGAUUUGCUAUUUCUGAGAGAGUAUUGAUAUGGUGGUGGUGUGGACCAAGAAGAUCUUGGUGUGGCUGUAGGUGUCGAUUGAAAAGAAAGCUUAUUGCGUUUUGAAGAAAAGGAACAGUGGCGGAGGUAGUUGGAGAAGAAAAUGUUCAGAGAGCUUUUUCGUUUCUCCUUUUCUUGUUUUACUGGGCGAGAGAUCCAAUUAGUGAGGUGAG
rnacentral:lncRNA from 1 species